rnacentral:rRNA from 1 species
UACGGGGGGGGCAAGCGUUGUUCGGAAUUACUGGGCGUAAAGGGCUCGUAGGUGGCCAACUAAGUCAGACGUGAAAUCCCUCGGCUUAACCGGGGAACUGCGUCUGAUACUGGAUGGCUUGAGUUUGGGAGAGGGACGCGGAAUUCCAGGUGUAGCGGUGAAAUGCGUAGAUAUCAUGAGGAACACCAGAGGCGAAGGCGGCUACCUGGACAGUUACUGACGCUCAGGCACGAAAGCGUGGGGAGCAAAAGGG